rnacentral:pre_miRNA from 14 species
CGUGGCACUGCGGCCCAGGCGCUGGUGCGGAGAGGGCCCACGGUGUACCUGGUGGCACUGCAUGCCCUCGCCGCUCAGCUCCUGGGUCUGGUGUG